UACGUAGGGUGCAAGCGUUGUCCGGAAUUAUUGGGCGUAAAGAGCUCGUAGGCGGUCUGUCGCGUCUGCUGUGAAAACUCAGGGCUUAACCCUGAGCUUGCAGUGGGUACGGGCAGACUAGAGUGCGGUAGGGGGAGACUGGAAUUCCUGGUGUAGCGGUGAAAUGCGCAGAUAUCAGGAGGGAACACCGGUGGGCGAAGGCGGGUCUCUGGGCCGUAACUGACGCUGGAGGAGCGAAAGCCAUAGGGAGCGAACAGG
rnacentral:rRNA from 1 species